rnacentral:rRNA from 1 species
UGUGAGGCAUGCUGGAGGUAUCAGAAGUGCGAAUGCUGACAUAAGUAACGAUAAAGCGGGUGAAAAGCCCGCUCGCCGGAAGACCAAGGGUUCCUGUCCAACGUUAAUCGGGGCAGGGUGAGUCGACCCCUAAGGCGAGGCCGAAAGGCGUAGUCGAUGGGAAACAGGUUAAUAUUCCUGUACUUGGUGUUACUGCGAAGGGGGGACGGAGAAGGCUAUGUUGGCCGGGCGACGGUUGUCCCGGUUUAAGCGUGUAGGCUGGUUUUCCAGGCAAAUCCGGAAAAUCAAGGCUGAGGCGUGAUGACGAGGCACUACGGUGCUGAAGCAACAAAUGCCCUGCUUCCAGGAAAAGCCUCUAAGCAUCAGGUAACAUCAAAUCGUACCCCAAACCGACACAGGUGGUCAGGUAGAGAAUACCAAGGCGCUUGAGAGAACUCGGGUGAAGGAACUAGGCAAAAUGGUGCCGUAACUUCGGGAGAAGGCACGCUGAUAUGUAGGUGAAGUCCCUCGCGGAUGGAGCUGAAAUCAGUCGAAGAUACCAGCUGGCUGCAACUGUUUAUUAAAAACACAGCACUGUGCAAACACGAAAGUGGACGUAUACGGUGUGACGCCUGCCCGGUGCCGGAAGGUUAAUUGAUGGGGUUAGCGCAAGCGAAGCUCUUGAUCGAAGCCCCGGUAAACGGCGGCCGUAACUAUAACGGUCCUAAGGUAGCGAAAUUCCUUGUCGGGUAAGUUCCGACCUGCACGAAUGGCGUAAUGAUGGCCAGGCUGUCUCCACCCGAGACUCAGUGAAAUUGAACUCGCUGUGAAGAUGCAGUGUACCCGCGGCAAGACGGAAAGACCCCGUGAACCUUUACUAUAGCUUGACACUGAACAUUGAGCCUUGAUGUGUAGGAUAGGUGGGAGGCUUUGAAGUGUGGACGCCAGUCUGCAUGGAGCCGACCUUGAAAUACCACCCUUUAAUGUUUGAUGUUCUAACGUUGACCCGUAAUCCGGGUUGCGGACAGUGUCUGGUGGGUAGUUUGACUGGGGCGGUCUCCUCCUAAAGAGUAACGGAGGAGCACGAAGGUUGGCUAAUCCUGGUCGGACAUCAGGAGGUUAGUGCAAUGGCAUAAGCCAGCUUGACUGCGAGCGUGACGGCGCGAGCAGGUGCGAAAGCAGGUCAUAGUGAUCCGGUGGUUCUGAAUGGAAGGGCCAUCGCUCAACGGAUAAAAGGUACUCCGGGGAUAACAGGCUGAUACCGCCCAAGAGUUCAUAUCGACGGCGGUGUUUGGCACCUCGAUGUCGGCUCAUCACAUCCUGGGGCUGAAGUAGGUCCCAAGGGUAUGGCUGUUCGCCAUUUAAAGUGGUACGCGAGCUGGGUUUAGAACGUCGUGAGACAGUUCGGUCCCUAUCUGCCGUGGGCGCUGGAGAACUGAGGGGGGCUGCUCCUAGUACGAGAGGACCGGAGUGGACGCAUCACUGGUGUUCGGGUUGUCAUGCCAAUGGCACUGCCCGGUAGCUAAAUGCGGAAGAGAUAAGUGCUGAAAGCAUCUAAGCACGAAACUUGCCCCGAGAUGAGUUCU